AUUGAACGCUAGCGGGAUGCCUUACACAUGCAAGUCGAACGGCAGCACGGACUUCGGUCUGGUGGCGAGUGGCGAACGGGUGAGUAAUGUAUCGGAACGUGCCUAGUAGCGGGGGAUAACUACGCGAAAGCGUAGCUAAUACCGCAUACGCCCUACGGGGGAAAGCAGGGGAUCGCAAGACCUCGCACUAUUAGAGCGGCCGAUAUCGGAUUAGCUAGUUGGUGGGGUAACGGCUCACCAAGGCGACGAUCCGUAGCUGGUUUGAGAGGACGACCAGCCACACUGGGACUGAGACACGGCCCAGACUCCUACGGGAGGCAGCAGUGGGGAAUUUUGGACAAUGGGGGAAACCCUGAUCCAGCCAUCCCGCGUGUGCGAUGAAGGCCUUCGGGUUGUAAAGCACUUUUGGCAGGAAAGAAACGUCAUGGGUUAAUACCCCGUGAAACUGACGGUACCUGCAGAAUAAGCACCGGCUAACUACGUGCCAGCAGCCGCGGUAAUACGUAGGGUGCAAGCGUUAAUCGGAAUUACUGGGCGUAAAGCGUGCGCAGGCGGUUCGGAAAGAAAGAUGUGAAAUCCCAGAGCUUAACUUUGGAACUGCAUUUUUAACUACCGAGCUAGAGUGUGUCAGAGGGAGGUGGAAUUCCGCGUGUAGCAGUGAAAUGCGUAGAUAUGCGGAGGAACACCGAUGGCGAAGGCAGCCUCCUGGGAUAACACUGACGCUCAUGCACGAAAGCGUGGGGAGCAAACAGG
rnacentral:rRNA from 1 species